rnacentral:rRNA from 1 species
GACGAACGCUGGCGGCGCGCCUAACACAUGCAAGUCGAACGAGCGAGAGAGAGCUUGCUUUCUCGAGCGAGUGGCGAACGGGUGAGUAACGCGUGAGGAACCUGCCUCAAAGAGGGGGACAACAGUUGGAAACGACUGCUAAUACCGCAUAAGCCCACGACCCGGCAUCGGGUUGAGGGAGAAGGAGCAAUCCGCUGAAGGAUGGCCUCGCGUCCGAUUAGCUAGUUGGCGGGGUAACGGCCCACCAAGGCGACGAUCGGUAGCCGGACUGAGAGGUUGAUCGGCCACAUUGGGACUGAGACACGGCCCAG